GGAGAAAAAAGAGCAUUUUUUCCCAAGCUACCUCAGCCACAGGAGAACAAAGUAAUGUCCACACUUUGUAUGUGAAACAAGUGCCUGUGUGUUUGAUAUUUGUAAUGCACAGGAUUUGAUUACCGUUUGUGUGUGUAUGCUUACUGGGCCGAAAGACAGCUUUAAUGAUGCAGUCAUCAAGGAAUAGUCCAAUUUUUCUUUGUGUGUGACUUUUUUAUAUUUAUAUUUUCCAGGAUUUAUAGUGCAAUCUGUGCUUUGUUGCUGAAUACACGUAUGUGGUUCAGUGGUUUGGUAUCUUGAAUGUUCUGGUUGAUUGUUUUAAUAUUUGACAAGCCAUAGUCUUUAUUUUAGUUCGUAAGGCAUUGGAAUCUGACAGUUUUUCCAUGAAGUAGAACUGAAGAAAUUCCCAGAUUGGAAACUAUUAACACAGAGCAUUAUCACCAGAAAUGAAUCAUAACGAGGUUGUUUGCUCUGAAGCUGAUAUGUAAUCAGUGAAAUCAUUAUCAAUCUUAGAGAUACGUGAAAUCAGCGAUACUGAUCAGCCUUGUUAGAAUUCCAAUGUUAACCAGUGUGUCUUUGUUUCAGAUUGAAAAUGAUCUUACGUAAGGUACAGUACACUUUACAAACUUAGGCUCAAUCCAUCCGUAAUCAUUAAGUGGCACUGCUUUUUGUUUAAGUGGUUUUGCCUGAUCCUAAAUAUAAUAUAAAAUGAGCUAAUUUAGAAUGGAACAAGUGUUAUGAUACAUUUGUGUCGCUUCAGAAUCCAGUGCUUUUCAGUGAAGCGUUGUAACUCUGCACUGUCAAAUUAUUGUAAAGGUUGGUUUUCCCUUUACAGAUUUUCGUGAUGGCUGAAUGCUUAUUUCCACCUGGUUGAAGACCCAUGGUACAGUGUGUAGUAUUGAAAACCUGACAUUAUGCCAGAUACUUUGCAUUUUAUCACAGUGCCCACAGCCUGCCUCAAGCUAUAUUGCCAAAGAACACUGAGGAAAACACCAGGAACUUCUGGGGGUGGCUUAGGGUAUAAGAACAACUGUUUGAAACUUGUUUUAUUUUCAUUUAUAAGUGAUUGAUAAAAUGCCCUCUUUGUAGAAAGGUUGUAGAGUUUGGAAGGAAUGACGCAGGUUUUGCCAUUUUUGGUCAGGUAGUGGAUAUUUGUGCCUGCAUCACAUGCCCAAGCCACAAUUCUGAAUCCUGAAAUAACCAAGGACAGUGUAUUUGACAGUUAAAGCUGCAGCUGGGAAUAAUGGGCCACCAGUGGCUAGCAGCUGAAGUCACUUUACCAAUAGUGUGUAUGACUCCAAGCCAUAGCCAUUAGAUUCAGACAUGACCUAAGGAUUUGGAAGAGUUGGUCUGAACGGGUUGUAUGGAAGGCAGUUUAAGAUGUAGAUAUAUGUAAUAGGGUUAGCAAUAAUGAAUUAAAAUCAACUGACGUCACAAAUGCCGAUGUUGUAUGAACUGAAAUUACUUUUUGUACCAAAACUACUUAUAUAGCAUCUUGUUUAUGCAGGACAUGAAGGUGAAAUUAAAGAAAAUGAGUUAACAUAA